rnacentral:rRNA from 1 species
CUCGUAGGUGGUUUGUCGCGUCGUCUGUGAAAUUCCGGGGCUUAACUCCGGGCGUGCAGGCGAUACGGGCAUAACUUGAGUACUGUAGGGGUAACUGGAACUCCUGGUGUAGCGGUGAAAUGCGCAGAUAUCAGGAGGAACACCGAUGGCGAAGGCAGGUUACUGGGCAGUUACUGACGCUGAGGAGCGAAAGCAUGGGUAGCGAACA